rnacentral:rRNA from 1 species
AGAGUUUGAUUCUGGCUCAGGAUGAACGCUGGCGGCGUGCCUAACACAUGCAAGUCGAGCGAAGCGCUUUACUUGAAUUCUUCGGAAGGAAAGUAUUGUGACUGAGCGGCGGACGGGUGAGUAACGCGUGGGUAACCUGCCUCAUACAGGGGGAUAACAGUUAGAAAUGACUGCUAAUACCGCAUAAGACCACAGCACCGCAUGGUGCGGGGGUAAAAACUCCGGUGGUAUGAGAUGGACCCGCGUCUGAUUAGCUAGUUGGUAAGGUAAGGGCUUACCAAGGCGACGAUCAGUAGCCGACCUGAGAGGGUGAUCGGCCACAUUGGGACUGAGACACGGCCCAAACUCCUACGGGAGGCAGCAGUGGGGAAUAUUGCACAAUGGGGGAAACCCUGAUGCAGCGACGCCGCGUGAGUGAUGAAGUAUUUCGGUAUGUAAAGCUCUAUCAGCAGGGAAGAAAAUGACGGUACCUGACUAAGAAGCACCGGCUAAAUACGUGCCAGCAGCCGCGGUAAUACGUAUGGUGCAAGCGUUAUCCGGAUUUACUGGGUGUAAAGGGAGCGUAGACGGAGAGGCAAGUCUGAUGUGAAAACCCGGGGCUCAACCCCGGGACUGCAUUGGAAACUGUUUUUCUAGAGUGUCGGAGAGGCAAGUGGAAUUCCUAGUGUAGCGGUGAAAUGCGUAGAUAUUAGGAGGAACACCAGUGGCGAAGGCGGCUUGCUGGACGAUGACUGACGUUGAGGCUCGAAAGCGUGGGGAGCAAACAGGAUUAGAUACCCUGGUAGUCCACGCCGUAAACGA